rnacentral:rRNA from 1 species
GACGAACGCUGGCGGCGUGCUUAACACAUGCAAGUCGAACGGAAAGGCCCUGCUUGCAGGGUACUCGAGUGGCGAACGGGCGAGUAACACGUGGGUGAUCUGCCCUGCACUUCGGGAUAAGCCUGGGAAACUGGGUCUAAUACCGGAUAGGAGCCAUUUUUAGUGUGAUGGUUGGAAAGUUUUUUCGGUGUAGGAUGAGCUCGCGGCCUAUCAGCUUGUUGGUGGGGUAAUGGCCUACCAAGGCGGCGACGGGUAGCCGGCCUGAGAGGGUGGACGGCCACAUUGGGACUGAGAUACGGCCCAGACUCCUACGGGAGGCAGCAGUGGGGAAUAUUGCACAAUGGGCGCAAGCCUGAUGCAGCGACGCCGCGUGGGGGAUGACGGCCUUCGGGUUGUAAACUCCUUUCGCUAGGGACGAAGCUUUUGUGACGGUACCUAGAUAAGAAGCACCGGCUAACUACGUG